CUAUUACUCCCUCCGUCCGAAAAUACUUGUCAUCAAAAUGAAAAGGGGAUGUAUCUAGAUGUAUUUUAGUUCUAUAUACAUCUCUAUUUAUCCAUUUUAAUGAGAAGUAUUUUCAGACGGAGGGAGUAUAUA
rnacentral:pre_miRNA from 1 species